rnacentral:rRNA from 1 species
CCUACGGGAGGCUGCAGUGGGGAAUAUUGGACAAUGGGGGCAACCCUGAUCCAGCAACGCCGCGUGAAUGAAGAAGGCCUUAGGGUUGUAAAGUUCUUUUGUGGAGUCUGGAGUAUCGGAAGAAUAAGCACCGGCUAACUACGUGCCAGCAGCCGCGGUAAUACGUAGGGUGCGAGCGUUAAUCGGAAUUACUGGGCGUAAAGAGUGCGUAGGCGGAUCUACAAGUUAGAUGUGAAAUACCUGGGCUUAACCUGGGAGGUGCAUUUAAGACUGUAAGUCUAGAGUUAGUAAGAGGAUGGGAGAAUUCCGAGUGUAGCAGUGAAAUGCGUAGAGAUUCGGAGGAAUACCGGUGGCGAAGGCGCCCAUCUGGUAUAACUGACGCUGAGGCACGAAAGCGUGGGGAGCAAACAGGAUUAGAUACCCUUGUAGUC